rfam:Triticum aestivum genome assembly, contig: Triticum_aestivum_CS42_TGACv1_scaffold_641158_T_7BL-0.156420_2BL-0.124529
CACGUACUCCCUCCGUCCGAAAAUACUUGUCAUCAAAAUGGAUAAAAGGAGAUGCGUCUAGACGUAUUUUAGUUCUAAAUACAUCCUUUUUUAUCCAUUUUGAUGACAAAUAUUUUGAGACGGAGGAAGUACUAG